UAUUUUGUCUUCGUGUAAAACGACAGAUUAUGAAGUCGCAAACAAAUUCAGCGAGCAAUAAUGAGUUUAGGAUAAAGUUAAUUGGUCAAGAAAAGAUAAGCCUUAACAGCUACAAAGUCCAUCACAGAAAACCGAAUGACACGGCGCAAUAUAAGGAAAUAUAAAUGAGCAAAACCCAAUAAUUUUAUUUAUGUAUGUUUGAUAAGGGAAAUAAAUUCUUCACGGGUCUUUGGAUCAUCACGGAAGUUACCAAGAACCGAGCUGGUAAUUGUUUUGGCUCCCGGCUUUUGAACUCCGCGCAUAACCAUGCACAUGUGCCUGCAAUACAAAAGGAGUACUUUUAUUAAUCUUGCUCUUGAUGUGAAAAUGGGUUUAUUUAUACUACUGUAUUCAAACUAAUUAUACCAGUACGAAGGGAAACUUACGCUGCCUCCAUAACCACAGCCACGCCGGCAGGAUUAAGUGCUUCUUGGAUGGCGGUGGCAAUCUGCUUAGUCAGACGCUCCUGAACUUGCAGACGGCGACUGAAGACUUCGACAAUGCGGGCGAUCUUGCUCAGUCCCAGCACGUGAUUUUUGGGAAGAUAUCCCACAUGGACCUUGCCCAUGAAUGGCACCAAAUGGUGCUCACACAUGGAAAAGACAUCGAUGUCUUUGACAAUGACCAUUUCCUGAUGGUUUUCAGCGAAAAUGGCAUCGUUGAGGAUAUCUGCCGACAAAAAAUACUUGUACUCGUAACUGUGACAGGCUUAUCUCCACUGGCGAUUGUAGGUAACCUUUCGGUGAAUUGAGUGCCGUUUAAAUAUAAUUUGUGCUCCGCAUAUUAUUGGUAUCCAGCUUAUGUGAGCAUUAAUCUUGUACGAGUAUAAGCAGAAACAACAAAAUUGCUCUGUUGUAGUGCAAAAUAAUAAGAGUGACCCUACUGCAGCCCUCGGCAAAAAGUGCCAGUGGUGUACUAAAUCGUAGAGUGUUUUCUUUAUUCUAAUAUCAGGUUUUCUUUAUUUUAGGUUACCGCUGUUAAUUUUGGUAAAGGUAGCUUUGAUAAAUUUAUGUACGGCUAGUGACGGAUUUUAUUCGUACAUUUGUGGACCCAAGUAAUUUGACAAGCUUACCAGAAACUUUCUCCUCAUAACCUUUGGUGAAGAAAAGGAAGGCCUUAGCGGCACGAUCAGGCGUCUUAAGUAAACCCUCGCGGUCAGGAUUUUCACCAAUGGAAGUUAGGAGAGCGCGAUAGCUGGCAGCCAUCUGCGGCAUAGCCGGCUCGCGGAUCAUGGGGCUCAGCAAAUCAGUCUCACCAUCGUCACCAUGUGCCCCAAUCUUCUCCAUGGCGUUAAGCUUGUCGUCCAGUGAUUUGCUGGGGCUGAGAUUCUUGGCAUCUGCCUUGUCUUUACCGCUGAACAGUUGGGCCAUGGUAUUGAACAUAUAAUGAUAUGCAAUUCAAAAGUGCAAGUCCAACUGCUGCUAACAAGUCAGGUGUCUGAGUGUUGGGAGCGCUGCAGAACCUGUGAAAAUGGCGGUUUAUAUAUGCUUUUUUCUGUACUUUCAGCGCCAUUUUGUUAUCAAGCACUCCAAAGUAAUUCUCUUGUUCAACUAACAAUAUCUAGGCGCUUUGGCACCGGUUCGCACAUCCAUAAAUUUUUCAACAUAAUGUUCGUGACCUUUAGUACAGCGGCGAGUGUAAGGAACAAUGCGCUCGAACAGAUAUCACCAGACAGGUACUAAGAAAAUACUCGUGGAGAUUAUCAUUAAUUGCUUUAAUCACAGCAUACUCCACCACAUACUCCGUCCAUCGAAAAUUCUAUCUUUGUCGCCAGCCGAUAAACAAAACCGCCGAUAAUAAUGCUUGCACGUUCCAAUUCAAAACUGAGAAAAGUAUAGCUGGCGCAGAUUUUGCAUGUUAAAAAUGUUUUAAGCUUUUUCCAGACUAAUUUUUAGUUUUUACACAGCGUUCAACAAAGCGAAAGUUAAUACUUGUAAAAAGCUACACACCCAUAUUAAUCCAUAUAACUCGAAUUAACUUAAAAUUUACGAAAUUUCACACAGUGUUUUAAAUUUUUUCUUAUUUCUACAAGAUCAUGCAAAAGCGCCAAUUUGCGUUCUAUAACGAUGAAUUCGGUUCUGCUUUUUGUACAAAUACAGUUAGUACAGCAAGAAUAUUGAGAUGCCCCAUUUACUUCAAAGAGACUCUGUUUACGGCUGCCUUUUUACAUGAACAAAAAUCUUCAAGCCCUUUAGGGUACCAUUGGCUGCUGUACAUUAUUUAUCGUUUAUGCAGAUUAUGUUUUUUUUGCAAAAAAUACGUAUAGGAGAACAUAAACAAUUACCAUCUGUUUAUAAUUUCUCUGCUGGUAGGUAUUUGUUACAUUUUUCAGGAUUGACAGCAGUGUUAGUGAGACCAACGAGCCUCGGUGCUUACAAUAAAAUUUUGCAUCUCAAAGCCAUUUGAUUCAAUAAAUGAAAUAUUCAAGGUUCUUUUGGUGCAACCGUGCAGAGUACGAUUAUUGCAGAUACUACUUAUGGUCAGAGUGUAAGUAUGUGUAGUUGUACAUGUUUGGCUAAUUUCCGUUAUGCGGUGAGUGUACAACACUGUGCAAUAAUCUGCAUCACGAGAGUUACAUAACAUCUUUUAUUCAUAAAAUGCUCUUCAAGGUCUGUCAUAUAAAGACGCAGAAGUAUUCCUUGAUCAUGCGGCAGAAAUCCGCGGGAAACAGUAAGGCUGGCGUUGGAUCUGUUUACAUACGCCACCGUGACGAGAAGAGCAGAAUGGUUCAACAACAUUGAUCGGCUCUUUAAUUCCAGACAAUACCCGGAAGCACCGCUUCUAGCUUUGCGUCAUUCGCAACAUGAGCAGCCGCAUCGCCUUAUAAUUAGGGCUGCGGUUAAUUUCGCCAUAUUUUAAUUUGGAUCAAUUUGGUUGCGCACCAGCGGAGCGCAGCUGUGAUUUGGUUAUUAUGCGGUACAUGUCUGACUAUAGAAAAAAACCGGUUCGAUAAGACAUCGUGGUUGGAUUGAUGUCCCUCGCGCGAUGCUGGAAAAAAGUUCAAAAAUCACUCACCUUGAACUCCAGGCAUCGGGCCACCUGUGAAAAACUCGGCACAGCGUCCAUCACUGGAGAACGGAGUUUUACCUAUUACUGAGCCAGUCUGCGUGCACUUAAAUUUUAAAUGUGCACCACUGUGUCAAUGAUACCGGCGACACUUCAAAUUUUCGAAAACACCGGUGCCGCUUUCUAUUUGUAGCGAUGGGAUACGACGAGCACAUCCGGUACCGCUUAUAAUUAAACUGUUGAUCAGCGAUUGCCGUCAUCUUUUACACUGGAGCGCAGCUGUCCGCCACUAACAAGAACCUUCCGAUAUAUCCUUUUUUUAGAGUUCUUGCUGGUUUUUCCACUGAUAGUUGAUCUUCCCGAAACUGGCAUCUACGAUUGAGUGGGUACAAUGAUCGCAAAACUCAUACUGUAUUUGACGAUCUCGUUUACUUGGGAGCUGUGCUUUGCCAACGGGAUUAAAUAUCCCUGGCUGACUCAAAAGCCCAACUUGCGUCAAGAAUCGGAUAAACUGAUUUCUGGCUUUAAUGGGCUGUAUACGGACAUUGACGCCCAAAACGAGUUUCCCGAAGUCACCGAUGACAACGUCGGCUUGAACGAAGUGCCAAAAAUUAAUUAUCCAUUUGCCAUGAUGAAAUACUGGGCACUCCUGAAUCAGAAGAUGAACCGGGACGCCAUCCAGCCGGUCAUAAAGCGAAUUCCUUUUCACCAUGAAAACAGUUUCGCACCGGACAGCGAAUCCGAUGGCUCUGAUGACUUAUUCGUCGAACUCGGGGAACCGGCGUACCAACCAGAUCCCCCGGUUUUGGAUCGGAAUGUUCUGGAAACCUUCAGAAAGCUUAAAGGAACUCGUCCAGAAACACCUAAGGCCGAUUCUAAUUAACCGUCUCCAGCUAGACCUGGCAGUAAAGCUGAUUAGUCAAUAACUGUAUUCGAAAUAACUGACAAGCAAAUCUUUCGUGAAAAAAAGAUUACUUAAGUUACAAGAAGCUCUUUACAUGAAGGUCAUUUUCAUGGUAAAAUAGACAUUAUUAGAGAAACACGAGCAUGUUAUUGCGAAUAACAUUCUAAUAAUUAGAUUGAAGUAGAAUUAAAGUGGCAGUACAGAUUCCUCCCCA